rnacentral:rRNA from 1 species
GACGUAGGGUGCGAGCGUUGUCCGGAUUUAUUGGGCGUAAAGAGCUCGUAGGCGGCUCGUCGCGUCGACCGUGAAAACCCGCGGCUUAACUGCGGGCUUGCGGUUGAUACGGGCGGGCUAGAGUUCGGUAGGGGAGACUGGAAUUCCUGGUGUAGCGGUGAAAUGCGCAGAUAUCAGGAGGAACACCGGUGGCGAAGGCGGGUCUCUGGGCCGAUACUGACGCUGAGGAGCGAUAGCGUGGGGAGCGAACAGG